GACGAACGCUGGCGGUGUGCCUAACACAUGCAAGUCGAGCGAAUGAAGUUCCUUCGGGAACGGAUUUAGCGGCGGACGGGUGAGUAACACGUGGGCAACCUGCCUCAUAGAGGGGAAUAGCCUUCCGAAAGGGAGAUUAAUACCGCAUAAGAUUGUAGUACCGCAUGGUACAGCAAUUAAAGGAGCAAUCCGCUAUGAGAUGGGCCCGCGGCGCAUUAGCUAGUUGGUGAGGUAACGGCUCACCAAGGCGACGAUGCGUAGCCGACCUGAGAGGGUGAUCGGCCACAUUGGGACUGAGACACGGCCCAGACUCCUACGGGAGGCAGCGGUGGGGAAUAUUGCACAAUGGGGGAAACCCUGAUGCAGCAACGCCGCGUGAGUGAUGACGGCCUUCGGGUUGUAAAGCUCUUUUGUCCGGGAAGAUAAUGACUGUACCGGAAGAAUAAGCCCCGGCAAACUUCGUGCCAGCAGCCGCAGUAA
rnacentral:rRNA from 1 species